rnacentral:lncRNA from 12 species
AUGUGUUUGAGCACCCAGUUAACAGAAGCAGAGCUCUGGGACAUGCGGACAGACAUUCGCUGUAAUGAUGGACAUCUGCUCAUGGACAGGCUGGAAAGCAUAACCGCUGCUGGACAUCGCUCUGGGACUCAGGGGGGAUGCAGACCUUCUUUCACACACAUUACAGAGAUCCAGCAACCUCUGAACCAUGACGCAGUGCUCUUACCUGUGAAAGAACUCAUUAUUUCACUGUUAACCUGUAAUUUUACAAUAAACUUAUUCAAGCUUUCAGUUGUAUGACAUGUUUAGGUGGGACUUGAGUCCAUGCCUCAACUGCCACUUUAAACACAACGAACGUGUGUUUAGCCACUAGCACCACUGCAGCUUUCACACUGAGUGCUGGUGUUUGGGGCACUUUGUUGGAUAUAAUGCCAACAAUUUAACAUAAGCAAUAAUGGGAUUUGAAUUCAGGUCUUCAUGAUUGAAACACAUUUUUUCAUCCUGUGAGCCAUUGAGUCUGGGGUCUUGAGUUUAGUUUAGAUGAGGUUUGAAAAGGUGAUGAAAAGCUUCACUACUAGUGAGAUUUAAAGUACAAUUAGCAGGUGAUGUUCUAAAUUAAACAAUCAUCCUCCACACCACAGAGUUUGCUCUAAUACUACAAAAGUAAAAAAUAAAAUAAAACCUGACAAUGGGGGGAAAAAACACCUUUACACCUUCAUAUUUUUUAAGGUAUGUAUUAGGUACCUCAUUAAUACCACAAAGACAUUAGGAAUAUAAUAACACUUAAGUCCCAAAAAACAAACAAACAGGAAGAAAAAAAUACAAUGCAAAUCACAAGUAGUUCUAAGGAACACUGUUCUCUAUAAGGAUAACACUAAUUCAGAUGUGUUUAUUAUAGAGCCACAUAAUUACCAUUAAACACAACAUAGAACAACAAACAGAACUAUAGCCCAUACUAUCUACAAAUAACUAUAUUUAACAUCAAUAAUAAACACAGACCACUUGAACAGACACAGCUAAUUAAAUAUUCAAAAAUAUUCAUUUCCCACAGCCAAUCACUUACUACCACAUAAUACAGACUGUGAUUCAUUUGAGUUUGCAUAGAGCCAUAGACUAUAGCAGAGGUGCUCAAACCUUCCCAGCAGGUGUGUUAAGGCAAGUUGGAGCUAAACUCUGCGGGACACCGGCCUUCCUGGACUGAGUUUGGGCACCCCUGGAAUAGAAUAUAUUUCCUUUGAGUUUGAGCUUAAGUAUGGUGGUCCUCCAGGAGCAGGAUUGGAUACACCUGUUGUAAGCAGAUCAUCCCUCUGAAGCCACAAAUGUUUAAUGAUUUGAAAGGUCUUCCUGCUCCCGAAGAGCAACUUUCCUGAGUUUAGCUACAACCUAUGCAGAAAACAUAUCUGGUUUCAGAUGCUGUCUCAUAUGGAAAGCUGCGCCCUCUGGUGGUCACAUUUGAUGGUUGCACAUAUCAUCGAGGAUGUUGCAUUUCGGGCUUUUCUGAAAUAAAGCGGUGUCAAUGGUGUAUGCGACCACCAGAGGGCGCAGCUUCUCCUCUUAAACCUCAUGACAAGAGAUCACUAGGCAACUUUCUCGAGCCUUCAGCUCUGAAUGAGUUGAUAAAGGUGAGGUAGGCUUGAUUAGAUCCUCCAGGUGAAGGUAAUUACAGACAUGCUCAUUUAGAACUAAUGGGGUCAAAAUUUUAAACUCAGUUUUAUUUUGCUAAACAUGACACUAUAUAAAGGCUGUUAUCUUUAUCACAGAUUUUUGAGAUAACAUGUUUGAAGAAUGUGUGAGAGAACAAUGCCAGAAUAAAACAUGAAACAGACGUUAUACUUUUCAUCAGUCAAUCUAGGCAAUCAUGAAAUGGUGUGGCUUAUGCAGCCUUUCUCCAGAAACUGUGUUGACUGAGUGUGGAAGUGGCUUUCAGGUCGAACAAAUCUCAAACCGACAAACAUAGUUCUGUUUCAGACACUGAUCGGUCUGUGCAUUGAAGUCAAGCAUGACUUGUGUAAGGCUGACUCUUCAGCAAAUAAAUAUUUAAUUAGCUAUGUCUUUGCUUAUGAAAGACAGUAAAUAUAGGUAUUUGUAGUUACUGUAGGUUAUAGUUCUGUUUGUCAUUCUGUUUAUUGUUAAUUAUGUGGUUCUAAUAUUUCACUAAAUUUGAGAUUUAGUGUUACCCUUAUUGAGAAUAGUGUUCCUUGGAACUACAUGUGAUUUCAUGAAUUUAUUCCUUUCUUUUUUUACCAAUUGAUUGAGAGCUGCAUGUGCUUUCUCGGUGCUGUCUUGAUGUUUGUUGAAAGUGGGAUGGGGUUUUCUUUUCUAUGUUGAAAGCUGAUUUCAUGUAAUGAUAUGCAAAUUAGGUUGAGCCAUGUUACAGACCAAAACAAGUAUAGUUUAAUGUACUGUAUGCAUGAAGUUAUGUAAACUAAAUGAUAGUUUCUUAUAUAUCUUUAUUGUUUCUACCAAAAACAUCACACCCAAUAAUUUUGACAUUUAUAAAUAAAAGUGAAAAAUUAAGUAAUUCUAUAUACAAAUGUACACAUAAUUUUUUUUAUAAAUAAACACUCUAUUUCACCUCAAAGUCUAAACCACCUGAAAAACCACAUUGUCACAUUGUGAUAAGACAAUGCAACGUUAUGAAUUCUCUGGCUCAGUGGAUAACUGUUUGCUUUUUGGUACAUGAAAAUCCCACAGUUGCUAAAGUACUUAGAACAAAUUUAAAGCAAAGCUUUCAAUAACACCUCUUCCACAACAUACUAAAAUUUUGCAGGCUCAGUAGCUCAGGUGAUAAAGCGUUUCAUUUUAAUAAUGGAGACCCAAGUUCAAAUCCUGCUUUUGCAUACAUUAAAUUCAUGCUAUAAUUUAUGCUGUAGCUUAAUAAAAAAUAAAAAAAAUAAAUGCCAAAACACGCUACAACUCCACAAACUCAUUGGUGCAAGGAAUAAAGGAAUAAACAUGAAGUCCUAAGUUUGAAUCCUUUUAUUCAUUAUAUGAAAUUGUUGCUGUAAACACAUUGCAGCUCCACAGACACAGUGGCGCAAUAGAUAAGCUAUUGCAUUUUAAACGAUGAGUCCUGAGUUCGAAUCUCAUCUUACGUUUUUGUUACAGCUAGUGACAUAGACCAAUAAAACCAACUCACCUGUUUACAUCAUAACCUCUGUGGUACAGCGGAUAGUCACUUGUCUUUCAUGUAUGAUAGUCUGGGUUCAAACCUAACAACUGCAAACACCUUCUUUAUAUGCAAAACAACUCUCAAUAAAAUCUCAUCAAAAUCCAAUUUUCACCCUCAGGCUCAGUAGCUCAGGUGAUAAAGCAUUGUGUUUUAAUCAUGGAGACCUGGGUUCAAACCCCACUAUUGCUUAUGUUAAAUUCUUGAUGUCAUAUCCAACAAAGCGGCCCAAAUGUCAGCAGCAGGUGUGAAAGCCGCGAUGGCACUAGUGGCUAUACACACGUUGGUUGCGGACAAGGUGAUUGUAGACUCGGGGGUUCAAAUCCCACACCAAAGAAAGAUACUGAAUAACUGAGCGAGAUAGCAAAGGUGGUGAAACAGAAAGCCAGAGGCAGACUGGCUGAGAUACCUGAAACAGACUGGCUACUCAGCCAUGAGAAACACAGACUUACAAAAGUACCUGGGGCGGUACAACAGACUGACUAAGCAGUCAUGAGAAACAUGGACUAACUGGCAGACGUACCUGGGGCGGUAAGAUGGCCAAGAGAUGAAGGCUGAGGUGGGGAUGAGAGAGGCAGGCCAUAGAGAGGGGGAGAUGAGAGAGGCGGACCUGAGAAAGGAAGAGAAACCAAAAAAAAAGAGAAAGCUUUUUGAAUUUUUUUUUUUUUUUUGGCUGCAAAAUGGGGAAAAAACAGGAUUCUCCAUUUACAUUUGCAGCAGAGUGGGGAUUUGAACCCAUGUCUCCUGCAUUGGGUUGAGGUCUUAUGCCAUGAACUCUGACCACUCAGCCACACCAGCUCACACAAAGAAAUGUGUUUAUUUACUAUUAGAGAAAAGCACAUUUACAAACAUUAAAAAAAAAAAACAUUAAAAAAUAUUAAUAAAAAAAUUUUGAAUCAGAAAAUUAAAAUGAGGGUUUUGCUUUUAUUAAGAAAUAAAUACAAAUGUUAAGAAAUAAAAAUAUUUUAGUGUAUAGGUAGAAUAAAAUUUUAAAAAUCAUAUUU